rnacentral:SRP_RNA from 1 species
GUGCGGGCCCUGUGCAGCAAAGCACCGUGAACCAUGUCAGGCGGGGAACCGAGCAGCAUUAAGCGGAACGCUUGGCGUGCCGCAGUCAGCCUGCACACC